rnacentral:snRNA from 1 species
CAGAGAAGAUUAGCAUGGACCCUGUGCAAAGAUCACACACA